CUUUCACUGAAUCUUCCUACAUAUUGAGGGCUUGCAUGGAUAUUCCUACAGGAAUAUCUCGUAGAAAUCAGGCUUCUUGGCUACGGGUCUCCCUAAAGUCCCAGCUAGCCUGUGGGCUAGUUGGCCUGCAAGAAAGUGGUAAAAGAUCCACAAGGAUUUUUUGUUUUUUUUGUCCCUUCCAUAAACCCUAGACUACACAAUACUG
rnacentral:lncRNA from 1 species